rnacentral:lncRNA from 1 species
AUGCAUGGUUCCAUGCAUGGCUUCAUGCAUGUGGAUAGGAAGUGGGCAUGAAGAACGUGGUGUAGAGAGAGAAAGGUGGUAAGAAAGGAUGGGUAAGGUGGGCAUAGAAGGGUGGUGGCAUGCAUGGUUCCAUGCAUGGCUUCAUGCAUGUGGAUAGGAAGUGGGCAUGAAGAACGCGGUGUAGAGAGAGAAAGGUGGUAAGAAAGGAUGGGUAAGGUGGGCAUAGAAGGGUG